GUGGGGAAUGUUAACAAUGGGCCCAGAUCUUCCUUUCUCCACCUCCCUCCACCCCUGCUGCCAGUGAUUCUGUUUCCCCUCCUCUUUCUUCUAGGUCUCUCUCCACUUCUGUCUCUGCCAGGCUCUGUGCCUUUCCUCCAUUUUCUCUUCAAGAUCUUUUGUUAACUUUGCCUUCCAGGAAAAGACGACAUGGCAGCCAGCAGCCCUGAGCCCCUCUGGGGUGGAAGUGUCCUGGCAGGGCAGUGGCAGCUGGCAGAGAGUGCAAGGAAGGCCAUAUCCCCUGCGGGGGUGACCAGCUGUCUCAGUCUGCCCAGGACAGUCCAGAUGUCAGCACCAAAAGCCAUAGGGCCACGCAAACCAGGCGUUGGCUUGCCACCCUGCCAGCUGCCCAAGGACCCAGAAGCAGGGCCAGGAAGCCCACAGAAAGUGGAUGGGAGAGGACGGGGAUCUGGGUACCUGGCUGUCCCCUAGUCCCCUCAGUUGUGUCUCAUGGGCUGAGGACACAAAGGGGAGAGUGGAGGAGCUGCCCAGGAGGCAGUGGCAGGCCUUGGGCAAACAGGAACCACCACCACCAGUGACUGACACAUGCUGCUCGCUUCCACCCGUGCAGGAUGGCUGGUCCUUGUCGCUUCUCCUGCCUUGGACCUUGGCUGUUCCAAGGGCAAGCAGUCUGAAUUAGACGCUAAUCAUAGCCUCGGGCUGUGGCCCAGCAUCUGCCGGCAGAACGGUAAGAUUUCUGCAGCCAUGCUUGGUGACAGGGAAGGGACAGGAGGGGCUGGGCAGGGUUUCUCAUGCUUUCAGCCAAAGACAACACCAUUAGUCUUUGGCCUUGCCAAGAGGUAAGUUGAGUCAUGAGCAGAAUUCAGCAGCUUAACAAACAGAAGACUAGGACACUUGGGUGAGGGCUACCGAGGAGACAUGAACAUGUUCACCAUGGUUGGCAGGGUCAUCCAGCCUGGGGCUCCCUCAGUUUUUAGUUUCUCCUUCAGCUUAUUUGGGGC
rnacentral:lncRNA from 1 species